AGCUAGAGUUUGAUCCUGGCUCAGAUUGAACGCUGGCGGCAUGCUUUACACAUGCAAGUCGAGCGGCAGCGCGGGGGGUAACUCCUGGCGGCGAGCGGCGAACGGGUGAGUAAUGCAUCGGAACGUGUCCCGUAGUGGGGGAUAACGCCGCGAAAGCGGCGCUAAUACCGCAUGAGCCCUACGGGGGAAAGCAGGGGAUCGUAAGACCUUGCGCCGAUGGAUGAGCCGAAGCCGGAUUAGCUAGUUGGUAGGGUAACGGCCUACCAAGGCGACGAUCCGUAGCUGGUCUGAGAGGACGACCAGCCACACUGGGACUGAGACACGGCCCAGACUCCUACGGGAGGCAGCAGUGGGGAAUAUUGGACAAUGGGGGAAACCCUGAUCCAGCGACGCCGCGUGUGUGAAGAAGGCCUGCGGGUUGUAAACCUCUUUCAGGAGGGACGAAGCCACUCGGGUUAAUAGCCCAGAGGGUGACGGUACCUCCAGAAGAAGCCCCGGCUAACUACGUGCCAGCAGCCGCGGUA
rnacentral:rRNA from 1 species